rnacentral:piRNA from 1 species
UACUUGGUGCAGGAGGCUAUACAGGCUGU